rnacentral:rRNA from 1 species
CGAAUACUCCCCAAUGCGCGAAAGCGUGACGGAGCAAUGCCGCGUGCAGGAUGAAGCGGUUUCGCCGUGUAAACUGCUGUCAGGGGCUACUAACCAUGAAGAGCCCCAGAGGAAGGACCGGCUAAUCUCGUGCCAGCAGCCGCGGUAAUACGAGAGGUCCAAGCGUUAGUCGGAAUUACUGGGCUUAAAGGGUGCGUAGGCGGGCCCGUAAGUGCUUCGUGAAAUCCCAUGGCUCAACCAUGGAAUUGCGGGGCAUACUGCGGGCCUCGAGGAAGCUAGAGGCCGGUGGAACGAUAGGUGGAGCGGUGGAAUGCGUAGAUAUCUAUCGGAACGCCAAAGGUGAAGACAGCCGGCUGGGGCUUUCCUGACGCUGAGGCACGAAAGCGUGGGGAUCAAACAGGAUUAGAUACCCUGGUAGUCCACGCCCUAAACGAUGCACAUUAGACCGAUGCGGCUCUGACGUCGUAUUGGUCGUAGAGAAAUUGCUAAAUGUGCCGCCUGGGGAGUACGGUCGCAAGGCUAAAACUCAAAGGAAUUGACG